GCCAAAACUGUAAUUUGAGCUACAGUCUACAGAAAUUUCAUUUGCCUUCGACACGGGCAACAAGCUGGUCAUAUUUUCGGAACAAGUUACAAAAAAUAAAUCUAAAUUUUCAAUGUGAAAAAAAUACAGUGGACUUGAUUCCUCGCCCAAAUCGGAAGAAUCGAAGCCAUCAAUCCAUGCUGCUGACAAGGCGUCGAUUCUCCUCAUGGACGGGAGAUAUCAUAUCAACACUCAUGGCUGCCGGCGACGUUUAACGAUGAUCACCAGGCGGCCCAGUUGGGGGGGCCAUACAUCCAUCCACCCAGCUGCAAAUAAACCACAUCACAAUGGACUAUCGUCCAAAUGGUGCUACCACAAGAAGUGAAAGUAGCACCUCAACACUUUGCUGCUAUGCUGCAAACUGCGUACACACACACACACACACACACAACUUUAACAACGGCGUAAUCGGCUGCCCAAUAGAAUCGCUCGUCGUCAUUACACGUUUUGUAAAUGCGGUUUACAAUUAGUCCUGCCAAUUCACACACAUUUCCUUAUUAAUUUUAUCGUAAACCAAUUAAAUCCAAUAAUGCAGAAAUGUACUACUCACACUCACACAAAACUGAAGCUAAUAUACUUCAUUGAUGCAGAAUUUGAAA